rnacentral:rRNA from 1 species
AGUGAACGCUGGCGGUAGGCCUAACACAUGCAAGUCGAACGGCAGCACAGUAAGAGCUUGCUCUUACGGGUGGCGAGUGGCGGACGGGUGAGGAAUACAUCGGAAUCUACUUUUUCGUGGGGGAUAACGUAGGGAAACUUACGCUAAUACCGCAUACGACCUACGGGUGAAAGCAGGGGAUCUUCGGACCUUGCGCGAUUGAAUGAGUCGAUGUCGGAUUAGCUAGUUGGCGGGGUAAAGGCCCACCAAGGCGACGAUCCGUAGCUGGUCUGAGAGGAUGAUCAGCCACACUGGAACUGAGACACGGUCCAGACUCCUACGGGAGGCAGCAGUGGGGAAUAUUGGACAAUGGGCGCAAGCCUGAUCCAGCCAUACCGCGUGGGUGAAGAAGGCCUUCGGGUUGUAAAGCCCUUUUGUUGGGAAAGAAAAGCAGCGGGUUAAUACCCCGCUGUUCUGACGGUACCCAAAGAGUAAGCACCGGCUAACUUCGUG